GGGGGAUUGCACAUAUGGUGCAUGCGUGACCUAAGCUGCGACUAUGUUAGAGUAGAACUGCGGAGAAGCCUCGGCUCUCGUGCCCUGCCUCUGAUGAAGCCUGUGUUGGUAGGGACAUCUGAGAGUAAUGAUGAAUGCCAACCGCUCUGAUGGUGGCACAUGCCGAGUCACCCGAGUAAGCUAUUGUUAAGGGCCGUGACCCGAGCCUCCAUCAGCCGUCCGCUCUCAUGAAAGGCUGUCGGUGGUAGUCCACGUGCUUAAGUGCCUGCAUUCCGCAGUGUCACCAAUAUUUCCAUUAGUGUUUCUUUUUUCUUUUUUGAGACCGAGCCUCGUUCUGUCACCCAGGCUGGAAUGCAGUGGCUCGACAUCGGUUAAUGGCAACCUCCGCGUCCCGAGUUAAGCAGUUCUGCCUCAGCCUCCCAAGUAACUGGGACUACAGGCGCGCGCCACCAUGCUAGGCUUUUAUAUUUUUAGUAGAGACGGGGUUUCACCAUGUUGGCGAGACUGGUCUUGAACUCCUGACCUCAGGUGAUCCACCAGCCGUGGUCCCCCAACAUACUGGGAUUACAAGCCGUGAGCCACCGCGCCCGGCCGCCAUCGGUGGUUCUUAACUGCGGGUGCAGUGCUUCUUUGUAACAUUAAGUGUAUCCUUUACCUGUCGCUAGAUAAUGAAUGGUAUGUUACCUGCAUCAUUGGUUUAAAAAGACGAACCGUUUUUUUAAAGAACACUCUUUAAAAAAAAGAACCGUGGAACAAUGAAUUAAAAUCUGUACCUGAUCUCUUUAGGUAUGGUGCUGGGUGCAGAUGCAGUGUGGCUCUGGAUAGCACCUUAUGGACAGUUGUGUCCCCAAGGAAGGAUGAGAAUAGCUACUGAAGUCCUAAAGAGCAAGCCUAACUCAAGCCAUUGGCACACAGGCAUUAGACAGAAAGCUGGAAGUUGAAAUGGUGGAGUCCAACUUGCCUGGACCAGCUUAAUGGUUCUGCUCCUGGUAACGUUUUUAUCCAUGGAUGACUUGCUUGGGUAUGGAGAGUCGGCUUGACUACACUGUGUGGAGCAAGUUUUAAAGAAGCAAAGGACUCAGAAUUCAUGAUUGAAGAAAUGCAGGGUUUUUAAUGACCACAACAAGCAAGCAUGCAGCUUACUGCUUGAAAGGGUCUUGCCUCACCCAAGCUAGAGUGCAGUGGCCUUUGAAGCUUACUACAGCCUCAAACUUCUGGGCUCAAGUGAUCCUCAGCCUCCCAGUGGUCUUUGUAGACUGCCUGAUGGAGUCUCAUGGCACAAGAAGAUUAAAACAGUGUCUC
rnacentral:lncRNA from 10 species